rnacentral:lncRNA from 1 species
UCCUAUCCUCACAUACAAUGUCUUGAAAAAGCUUAAAACAGGGCCCGGGUAAGGCAACAAUGGGACUUCGUUGCUUUGUAUUUAGAGAGAGAAGGAAACCCUAAACAGGACCGGGUAAAGUAGAGAUUUGGGUACUCAUUUUUAGGGCUCUAGCAAGAUUUGGAAAGGCAAGAAGAGAUUGUGGAGCUGAUUUUAGAGAUUUUUGAGAGAGAAAGAAACCCUAACCAUACUUUCUUUGUAGAGAUUUGGGUACUCUUAUUUUGGAUUCGUGCAAGAUUUGGAAAGGCAAGAAGAGAUGUGGAGCUGAUUUUAGAGAGAGAAAAGGAAGAGGUGAUUGUUUUUCGUCUGUAAUAUGUAAUUUUUCUUCUGAACCAUACACCUUUUUUAGAAAGCAUGAAAAUAGAAAUACACAAAACAGGGAAAAAAAAUAUAUCUUUCAAAAAAAGAAAAAUUACAGGAUACAAUUUUUUUGUCCCGUAUAAUUCGUUUUUUCGUAAACUCUCGUUUUUAACUUUUUUCCUAAAAAAAGGUGAUUUUUUCCCGAACUUUUCAAAAGGAUGAUGUUUUAAACGUUUUUCAUAAAAGCUCUGUUUUUUUGAAAAAAUCGACGUUUAGUUGCCGAUUUGCUAACUAUGAAUCUCACCAACCUAUGGAUCUUGAUCUCAGGGUCCAGAUCCUUUUGAAAUAUCACCAGCCACUUUGAUAUCUGAUCUGAUAAUGUCUUAUGAAAUUCUAUCAUGUUGUCCUCUAAAACUCGAUUUGAAAACACCCAUCUGGAAUGUUUUUUUUUUAUGAUCGAGUUUUUCGUUACUUGAUCAUGUCUGUUCUGGUGCAUGAGCUGUUAAAUUGGUUUUGAUCCAAACUGAGUUUUAUUGAUUCUUCUAAGUGCCAUUCUGUUUUCUCAGUUGUCUCGACUAUUUUUCUAUCUCCGGUAAAGAUUUGGAGUUUUUUGUCUGAUGGCUCA